CCUACGGGGGGCAGCAGUGGGGAAUAUUGGACAAUGAGGGGAACCCUGAUCCAGCCAUGCCGCGUGUGUGAAGAAGGCCCUCGGGUUGUAAAGCACUUUCAGUGAGGAAGAACGCCUGGUGGUUAAUACCCAUCAGGAAAGACAUCACUCACAGAAGAAGCACCGGCUAACUCCGUGCCAGCAGCCGCGGUAAUACGGAGGGUGCGAGCGUUAAUCGGAAUUACUGGGCGUAAAGCGCGCGUAGGUGGCUUGAUAAGCCGGUUGUGAAAGCCCCGGGCUCAACCUGGGAACGGCAUCCGGAACUGUCAAGCUAGAGUGCAGGAGAGGAAGGUAGAAUUCCCGGUGUAGCGGUGAAAUGCGUAGAGAUCGGGAGGAAUACCAGUGGCGAAGGCGGCCUUCUGGACUGACACUGACACUGAGGUGCGAAAGCGUGGGUAGCAAACAGGAUUAGAUACCCUAGUAGUC
rnacentral:rRNA from 1 species